CUGGUAGCGGGGGAGUAACUAGUGGAAACGAUAGCUAAUACCGCAUAAGAGUAGAUGUUGCAUGACAUUUGCUUAAAAGGUGCAAUUGCAUCGCUACCAGAUGGACCUGCGUUGUAUUAGCUAGUUGGUGGGGUAACGGCUCACCAAGGCGACGAUACAUAGCCGACCUGAGAGGGUGAUCGGCCACACUGGGACUGAGACACGGCCCAG
rnacentral:rRNA from 1 species